GCUUCCUCAAUUACCUCGUACCCCUGCACAUCAACUCAGUACUGGUACUGCCUGUACGUAGCCAUGUUAUUUUCUACUGCCUCUAUGUAGCCAUGUUAUUUUCUACUACUUCUAUAUAGCCAUGUUAUUUUCUACUACUUCUAUAUAGCCAUGUUAUUUUCUACUGCCUCUAUAUAGCCAUGUCAUUUUCUACUGCCUCUAUAUAGCCAUGUUAUUUUCUACUGCCUCUAUAUAGCCAUGUUAUUUUCUACUGCCUCUAUAUAGCCAUGUUAUUUUCUACUGCCUCUAUAUAGCCAUGUUAUUUUCUACUGCCUCUAUAUAGCCAUGUGAUUUUCUACUACUUCUAUAUAGCCAUGUGAUUUUCUACUAUACAUAGCCAUCCUUGUUAUUUUCUACUGCCUCUAUAUAGCCAUGUUAUUUUCUACUGCCUAUAUAUAGCCUUGUUAUUUUCUACUGCCUAUAUAUAGCCUUGUUAUUUUCUACUACUUCUAUAUAGCCUUGUUAUUUUCUACUACUUCUAUAUAG
ensembl:lncRNA